UGAGCUCCCAGCCAGCUCUGUGGCGUCACGAGGGUCAGACAAUCCCUUCCAUUCGGCACGAGCCACCCAUUGGUUCCAAGGGCACGCCUCACGUGACAGAGCCCGGAGGCGCGGUGGAAGGUGGGGCAGCGCCGCGCUGCGGAUCAGGGACCUGCGGGGCUGUGCGGCGAAGACGAGGGCUGCUGUAACAAGUUGUUUAGCUUAAAACAACAGAAAUGUACUGUCUCAGUUCUGGAAGCCAGAAGUCAAAAUCAAGAUGUCAGCAGUGCUGUGCUCCCUCUGAAACCUGCAGGAGAGAAUCUUUCCUUGCUCAUUCCCUGUUGCUGCUGGUGGCCAGCAAUCCUUAGCAGUCCUUGGCAAUCCCUGGCUCGUAGCUGCAGCAGUUCAACCUCUUCCUCUGUGGCUAAAAAAAGGCAAGAUAAAAAGAGAAGACACUCUGUAAUGAAUAAGGGCAGCGGCACCUUCAAAUCUGUCGGCCCUUCUUGCUGGGUCAGCUCUGGAUAUCUGGAGGGAGAGAUCCUUUGAGGCCAUCUGGGGAUCGCAAGUAGAGGAGGCAGGGGGCAACAUAAAUGAGAUGAGAGCAGUCCAUACUCUUUCCUGAUGUACAUGUGCUUCAAAGGGAAAACUGUGUCAAAGCCAGGGAAGGGGAAAGCACAAAACAGUGAGCUGAAAGAGGACGUGUUCUCAGAACCCCAGAACCACAGUCUUCAGUGCAACAUGCUGUAUAUAAAAAUGCAUCUGUCUCUCAUACAUCUCCCUCCAUGUGACCGAAAGUGGACUCCAGGUCUAUAAACCAGGACAGGGUGGUGUCCCAUCUGAGACAUCUCUGACUUGUAUAUAGAAAGCAAAAACUUAAGUGAAAUGGACUCUUCUCCAAAAUUAAACAGUGCUUUUUUUUUCCUUUCAGAAAUUAUUUAAAUAAACAGUUUGUAAUUUAAUUAUAAUGUCAUUAUGAAGGCCUGCUCAGUCACUUGCUGCCAUCAGUAGGUAAAACACUGGGAAUUCACACUGUGUCAUUAUUCUGGUCUUCCUCUGCCAUUUAUUCAGCAGUGGGAGUUAAGGGUUUGUCAGCAUUUCCAUAAUUACCUCUUAUUUUCAAAGCCUCUGUCAUAGUUGCUGAAAAUUGCAUUGUACUAGACGGAAGCCUAAAGGUAAUUUCCUUUAGUGUUACAGCGGCUGCAUUCUUGUACAGCCGUAUGUGACUGUGCAGGAGAUUUCAGUAUCUUUUUAUUUAAAAAAUUUACACGUAAGUCUCAACUCUUAUUUUCGUAUAACUUUUAUCCAAGAUUGGGAUGUGAAUCAUGUGAAAUAAACAUUUAUGAACAGUACACAAUUCAAGAAAGGUACUACCUUGGCAGCAACGGGACAAAGUAUGGCCAGGAAGUAAUGACAUUGGUAUGGUGAUAAUCUAGUCAUAGUUCUUUAUGUUCACACAUUGUAUAUCUCUGAGAUUUACAAUAUUGUAGGGAGCUAAAGCUCCCCAAAUUCAAAAGAGUGCAUGGAUUGUUUCGGGAGGCCUGCUUGCAUAAAAAAGAAAAGGCUGGUUCUGUGGAAUUCCAGGAAGAAGAAGAUUAAGUAUAGCCUA